rnacentral:lncRNA from 1 species
UUCCAUGAUAAGUCAUGGUCGUCACCUGUGAUAGCCCUGAACUCGAACCUGAGGGGCACUCGGGCAAGAGGUUGGCAAACAGUAUGCAUGUCAGUGCAGCAAGCAAGUGCACCAAAGGUAUCUGUUGCACCUCUAGACCUUGAGGAUGCUAAAGAGCCUCCAUUGAAUUUAUACAAACCAAAAGAACCGUAUACUGCAACUAUUGUUUCUGUUGAAAGACUUGUUGGUCCAAAAGCACCGGGAGAGACUUGUCAUAUUGUUAUCGAUCAUGGUGGCAAUGUCCCCUAUUGGGAAGGUCAGAGCUAUGGUGUUAUUCCUCCAGUAAGUCUUUCAUGCCUUGGUCAUUCCCUUGUUACUGCAUUGUGUUUUGAUUUGGUUGCUCAUGCUAAGAUGUUUGGUAGUCGUGCAUUUUAUAAAAAUUCCAUAUUGGUUCUAUAGGUCCUGUUUCAAUUAUUUUUUUAUAAAUUUUAGCUUUUAUGAAUUUUACCACACUGUCUCUUUUAUUGCUAAAAUUCGUAGAGUAUCUUUACCUUCCUCUGUGACCUCUGACACGUCUUUGUUUGUGGACUUUUAAGCUUCAGCAAAAAUCUAAUAAGUUCUCACUUUUAUUGCAGGGUGAAAACCCAAAGAAACCUGGGAAUCCACACAAUGUUCGUCUCUACUCCAUUGCAUCAACUAGGUACGGAGAUUCUUUUGAUGGCAACACUGCUAGUUUAUGUGUUCGCCGGGCCGUUUAUUAUGACCCUGAAACUGGAAAGGAGGAUCCUUCAAAGAACGG